rnacentral:pre_miRNA from 1 species
AGUGGAAUAGCUGGGUCAAAUGGUGGUUCCAUUCUAAGUUUUCUAAGGAAUUUCCAUACUGCUUUCCAAAGUGGUUGCACUAAUUUGCAGUCCUACCAGCAAU